GAUGAACGCUGGCGGCGUGCCUAAUACAUGCAAGUCGAGCGAACAGACGAGGAGCUUGCUCCUUCGACGUUAGCGGCGGACGGGUGAGUAACACGUAGGUAACCUACCUAUAAGACUGGGAUAACUUCGGGAAACCGGAGCUAAUACCGGAUAAUAUUUCGAACCGCAUGGUUCGAUAGUGAAAGAUGGCUUUGCUAUCACUUAUAGAUGGACCUGCGCCGUAUUAGCUAGUUGGUAAGGUAACGGCUUACCAAGGCAACGAUACGUAGCCGACCUGAGAGGGGGAUCGGCCACACUGGAACUGAGACACGGUCCAGACGCCUACGGGAGGCAGCAGUAGGGAAUCUUCCGCAAUGGGCGAAAGCCUGACGGAGCAACGCCGCGUGAGUGAUGAAGGUCUUCGGAUCGUAAAACUCUGUUAUUAGGGAAGAACAAACGUGUAAGUAACUGUGCACGUCUUGACGGUACCUAAUCAGAAAGCCACGGCUAACUACGUG
rnacentral:rRNA from 1 species